UUUUUUUAAAACCCUUUGAUGUUUUUGUCUGAUUUCCUCAAUUCAUAGUAUGAUAUGAAAUACAUGUCCAUAAUUAUGUAUGAUUAAUAUCAGCAUAUUUACUAUCAAUAUACAAACUUGCAGCCUGAUGAAGGUGAUGUAACAGAAAAAAAAACAUUGUCCUUUUUUUUUUAAAUGAGAAAUUUGAAGGCAAACAUGUUGAUUUCUCUUAGUCUAAGAGUCUUAGAAAUGGCUAAUGCCUAGUAAAUUAAAUUCUUGUUGAAGGAAUUUUUGAGUCAAACCCUCAAACUGCCAAAAACAAAUUUUUGUUAAUUGUUUUAAUGUUUUUCUUGCUUCUUUUAUAUUCUCAUUUAUGGUAUGUGUUUUGGGGCAUUAAGGGUUAUUUUCUAAACUCUCCACAACUCUUAAAAGAUAAAUAUGAUACCAUUUGACAAUAAAUUGUCCUAAAUUUGUUGUACUGUUUUUGAUUUUGAUGAAUAGAUGAAAACUGCAAGUUGGCCAUUUUUAAUAUAUUUCUAGUAUUAAAGCAAGAUUAUACAGGAUUUGAUUUGGUGCAUUAAUGAAAAUAGUUGCUUACUUCAAUAAACAGUAAUGUAAUGCAUCAAUCAUAGUCACUGAGGAAAAAUUGCCUUGAUUAUAGAUGUUAUUUGAUUUACUUAUGAAAAGUAAGUCACUGCAUUGAUACAUGUAUGAGGUUUUCUUAUCAUUAUAUUUUAAAUCAGUAACAUUCUGACCACUUCAAAUAGUGUGUAAUGGCAUAUCCAUGUACAUGCAAUGAGUCCUCUCAAAUCUGAUUUUAAUGAACUUGGCUCUGUUAUUUUUUAUUAAUUUCAUUUGUAUAUAAUAAUGAAAAUUUACCUGUACACUUAUAAAAAAUAUAAAUAUAAAAAAGUUGUCAACCCUCAGUGCAUUGAAUUUCAACUGUGAUAUGAUAAAAAAAAAAAAGGAAUCAAAACUAUGAUUGAAAUGAAUGCCUUUUUUGUUAUCUUUCUGAGAGUUAUCUCUCUUGUAAGAGGGUAAAUAAGCCUUAAAAUAUACUGGAAUUAAAGUUAAAUCUUAUUUUCAACACAGUUUAAUCAUGUAUUGAUGUCAAAAGGAGUUGGGUGCAGCUAGACUUCUUUAGUUUGCUGUCAUUCUGACAAAAAUGUUUUUAGCUUCGAACAGAUCCAAUGUACAUGUGCUAUGUAUUUUUGCCACAAAUGCAUAUUUUGUUGGAAAAAGAUGGAAUAAAUGUUUUAAACUCAU
rnacentral:misc_RNA from 1 species